UACGGAGGGUGCAAGCGUUGCUCGGAAUUAUUGGGCGUAAAGGGCAGGUAGGUGGUCUCAUUUGUCUGGGGUGAAAGCCUUGGGCUUAACCCAAGAAGUGCCCCUGAAACGGUGAGACUGGAGUCUUGGAGAGGGUCGUGGAAUUCCCGGUGUAGCGGUGAAAUGCGUAGAGAUCGGGAGGAACACCAGAGGCGAAGGCGAAUCUCUGGACAGUUACUGACACUGAGGCACGAAGGCCAGGGGAGCAAACGGG
rnacentral:rRNA from 1 species